rnacentral:rRNA from 1 species
UGUAUAAUGGGUCAGCGACUUAUAUUCUGUAGCAAGGUUAACCGAAUAGGGGAGCCGGAGGGAAACCGAGUCUUAACCGGGCGUUAAGUUGCAGGGUAUAGACCCGAAACCCGGUGAUCUAGCCAUGGGCAGGUUGAAGGUUGGGUAACACUAACUGGAGGACCGAACCGACUAAUGUUGAAAAAUUAGCGGAUGACCUGUGGCUGGGGGUGAAAGGCCAAUCAAACCGGGAGAUAGCUGGUUCUCCCCGAAAGCUAUUUAGGUAGCGCCUCGUGAAUUCAUCUCCGGGGGUAGAGCACUGUUUCGGCUAGGGGGCCAUCCCGGCUUACCAACCCGAUGCAAACUGCGAAUACCGGAGAAUGUUAUCACGGGAGACACACGGCGGGUGCUAACGUCCGUCGUGAAGAGGGAAACAACCCAGACCGCCAGCUAAGGUCCCAAAGUCAUGGUUAAGUGGGAAACGAUGUGGGAAGGCCCAGACAGCCAGGAUGUUGGCUUAGAAGCAGCCAUCAUUUAAAGAAAGCGUAAUAGCUCACUGGUCGAGUCGGCCUGCGCGGAAGAUGUAACGGGGCUAAACCAUGCACCGAAGCUGCGGCAGCGGCACGCAAGUGUUGUUGGGUAGGGGAGCGUUCUGUAAGCCGUUGAAGGUGGCCUGUGAGGGUUGCUGGAGGUAUCAGAAGUGCGAAUGCUGACAUAAGUAACGAUAAAGCGGGUGAAAAGCCCGCUCGCCGGAAGACCAAGGGUUCCUGUCCAACGUUAAUCGGGGCAGGGUGAGUCGACCCCUAAGGCGAGGCCGAAAGGCGUAGUCGAUGGGAAACGGGUUAAUAUUCCCGUACUUGGUGUUACUGCGAAGGGGGGACGGAGAAGGCUAUGUUGGCCGGGCGACGGUUGUCCCGGUUUAAGCGUGUAGGCUGGUUUUCCAGGCAAAUCCGGAAAAUCAAGGCUGAGGCGUGACGACGAGGCACCACGGUGCUGAAGCAACAAAUGCCCUGCUUCCAGGAAAAGCCUCUAAGCAUCAGGUAACAUCAAAUCGUACCCCAAACCGACACAGGUGGUCAGGUAGAGAAUACCAAGGCGCUUGAGAGAACCCGGGUGAAGGAACUAGGCAAAAUGGUGCCGUAACUUCGGGAGAAGGCACGCUGACACGUAGGUGAAGCGGUUUACCCGUGGAGCUGAAGUCAGUCGAAGAUACCAGCUGGCUGCAACUGUUUAUUAAAAACACAGCACUGUGCA